rnacentral:lncRNA from 1 species
UCUACAUGGAACCCAUCUGAUCAGUUACUGCAACUUAGAGAUGUACCAAAGAGUGAAAAUUUCCCAAGCCAUUCUGAAAUUUUCAUCUAAUUGGUCUUUCUAAUAAAUUAUUCUGCACUGUUGGCUUUUGUUUGGUAUAAUUAAGAUUCCCUGCAGUUUCCUAAGUAAAUAGAUUUGUUACACAGCAUCAAAUCUCUUAAGGUACCCCCAAAUUGAUCAAUAUUUUGAAUAGAAAACAUUUUGCCAAUAUUCUAUACAAAUAAAAUGGCUAAAUUGACAAAUUUUGUUAGAAAAGCAUGAAAAUUAAAUCCUUGAACACAGAUUAGACAGUGCUGUUGAGAACUUCAGUACUCAGGGAACCAGGCAUAUGGAGGGGCCAGGCGCAAAGGGGCCUAGUUCCGAGCGCGCGCAGCAUGACCAGCUCCUCCUUCCUAUGCAUGGCCAGCAGCAAGCCCUGCUCAAGGCACCUGGCUCUGUCCCAGGCAUCAAUCAGAACUAAAGCACCCACCAAAUGUUAUCGAAUGGUGCUGUCCUGUCCUCAGUCUGGCACUUGUGCAGAAUAAACUAAAACUUAAAAGAGACCUGCUAAAAAUUAAAACAGUGACAGCUCAGGAUGGGUUGACUAUAGUUUUUUUAAACUACCUCAUUCUCCUCAAUCUCUAUACUUGAAUGUGAAAAAAUC